rnacentral:lncRNA from 1 species
AUGCAAGAGCCCCCAGCAGCAGUUGGCGCCCCUUCAAAUCUUCCCUCUGAGUUCCAGAAUCUGCUGUCAUCAGGCUCCUGGCAUGCAGCUAGAUUUCUUCUGCAAAACCCUUCUCUCGCUUACAUUUCAACCCAUUUCUCUCUCUUUCCUUCCUACAAGGGCAAGGGCUGUCUUUGGCUUUGCUUAUAUUUGAAUUCCCAGGGCUUAGCACUGUGCCAGGAACAAAGUAAGCCAUCAGUACAUCUCUUCUCUUCUCUUCUCUUCUCUUCUCUUCUCUUCUCUUCUCUUCUCUUCUCUUCUCUUCUCUUCUCUUCUCUUCUCUCCUCUUCUCUCCUCUUCUCUUCUCUCCUCUCCUCUUCUCUUCUCUUCUCUUCUCUUCUCUUCUCUUCUCUUCUCUUCUCUUUUCUCUUCUCUUCUCUUCUCUUCUCUUCUCUUCUCUUCUCUUCUCAUCAGCACAAUCCCCUAAACUCCUCUGACUCUACUUGGUGAAGUUGAAAGUCCAGAUUUGGAGUCCAAGGAUACAGGCUCUCAUCUUGGCUGUGCUACUUACCACUCGUGAGGUCAUCUAAUCUGAAGAGUACUUCCUUAUCUGUAAAAUGAGAGCAUUGGACAAAUCAGCUCGAAAACAAUAACAAUAAUAAUUUUUGUUGUUUUCAGUCAUGCCCAAUUCUUCCUGACUGCAUUUGGGUUUUUCUUGGAAAAGAUACUGGUGUGGUUUGCUACUUUCUUCUCUAGCUUAUUUGACAGAUAAGGAAAGUGAGGCAAACAAGGUUAAAUGAUUUACUCAGGGUCACCCAGCUAGUUAAGUGUCUGAGAUGAGAUUUGAACUUGGGAAAAUGAGUCUUCCUGACUCCAGGCUCAGUAUCUCUCCCCUGUGCCACCUACCUGCCCCCAAUACUAUUAUUAUGAUGAUAAUCACUAUAAUUUAUAUUUAAUUCGACCUCUGAUUCCUCUCUCUUCCUAUUAGCUAAAGCUCAUUCACUGUUUUCUUUCUUUUGUUAAAACUUUUAUUUUCUGUCUUAGAAUUCAUAUCUUUCGGGGGCAGGUCCUAAGUUCAAAUCUGGCCUCAGACAUUUCCCAGUUGUGUGACCCUGGGCAAGUCACUUGACCCCCAUUGCCUAGCCCUUACCACUCUUCUGCCUUGGAGCCAAUACACAGUAUUGACUCCAAGACAGAAGACAAGGGUUUAAAAAAAAAGAAUUCAUAUUCUUUCCUUUUUACCUUUCUUUUAUCCCCAAUACUUAGUAAAACAUUUGGCACAUAGUAAGUGCCUAAUAAAUGCUUAUUGACCUAGUGUUGAUUCUAAAAC